rnacentral:sRNA from 1 species
AAAAAAAAAAAACAAAAAACUUACAUCCCUUCUCCCCACCAUCCUGUUAUCACAGGAGAUCUAUAAGGACAGGCAGAAAUUCUCAGAACAGGUUUUCAAAGUGGCCUCCUCAGACCUGGUCAACAUGGGCAUCAGUGUGGUUAGCUACACUCUGAAGGACAUUCACGAUGACCAGGACUAUUUGCACUCUUUGGGGAAGGCUCGAACAGCUCAAGUCCAAAAAGAUGCACGGAUUGGAGAAGCAGAGGCCAAGAGAGAUGCUGGGAUCCGGGAAGCUAAAGCCAAGCAGGAAAAGGUGUCUGCUCAGUACCUGAGUGAGAUCGAGAUGGCCAAGGCACAGAGAGAUUACGAACUGAAGAAGGCCGCCUAUGACAUCGAGGUCAACACCCGCCGAGCACAGGCUGACCUGGCCUAUCAGCUUCAGGUGGCCAAGACUAAGCAGCAGAUUGAGGAGCAGCGGGUGCAGGUGCAGGUGGUGGAGCGGGCCCAGCAGGUGGCAGUGCAGGAGCAGGAGAUCGCCCGGCGGGAGAAGGAGCUGGAGGCCCGGGUGCGGAAGCCAGCGGAAGCUGAGCGCUACAAGCUGGAGCGCCUAGCCGAGGCAGAGAAGUAAAUGUCCCCUCCCUGAACCUGCCUAGCUCACUUGCCACCUAGGCACCCCAAGAUGGAGUGCUGAAGCCUUCACCACCUGGACUCCUAUGGAUUUCAGGUUUCAGGAGCCUCUGCCUCUGCAGCACUGGGCCUUUCUCCUGGGAGUAAGGGCCGCUGGGCUCCACCCUCCACUUCCCUUCUGUCCACAGGUCCCAACUAAUUAUGCAGGCGGAGGCAGAAGCCGAGUCUGUGCGGAUGCGUGGGGAAGCUGAGGCCUUUGCCAUAGGGGCCCGAGCCCGAGCCGAGGCUGAGCAGAUGGCCAAGAAGGCAGAAGCCUUCCAGCUGUACCAAGAGGCUGCUCAGCUGGACAUGCUGCUAGAGAAGCUGCCCCAGGUGGCAGAGGAGAUCAGUGGUCCCUUGACUUCAGCCAAUAAGAUCACACUGGUGUCCAGCGGCAGUGGGACCAUGGGGGCAGCCAAAGUGACUGGGGAAGUACUGGACAUUCUAACUCGCCUGCCAGAGAGUGUGGAAAGACUCACAGGCGUGAGCAUCUCCCAGGUGAAUCACAAGCCUUUGAGAACAGCCUGAGCCUUCAGCCCUCACAGAUGCCCAGCCUCAUAGCUGAAGUUGCCUGAAUGAUCCUCCUGUUGCAUGUAACCCACUGGCCUCCCUGAGCAUGUCCAUUGACAGUGAGGUCCCACCCCUCAUCUCUCCUUGCCAAAUAGUUUGUGCCUUGUCUUGAAGGGGGUUGGUCCCCUUGCCAACCUCACACUGCUAUGAUUGCCAACUCCAGCGGUCCCAUGUCAGCCUUCUGAUGAUCCCACUCCACCCCACCUCAACUUAUUUAACUUCCUAAUUAAAUCAGACUGUUUGAGCCUGUUGUCUAGAAUACUUUCCUGACCAAGACUGAGGGAUGGGCUGGAGGUUUUCAACUUUGCUACCCAAAUAAAUUGCUGUAAGUAAGUACUAAUAAAACAGAAGCAAUUGGAAAUUAA